CAUGAGAAGUGCAGGGGCUGUGGUCAGAGACGCCAACUACUGGCUCUGCUUCAUGGACCCAGGCCUCAGUUUCCCCUUCUAGCCAGUGAACAGGCUGGUUCCAGAGCUGCUGGCUUCACUGUGUCUCAGUGGUGUUUCACUGUCCCCAGAGCUGUGGCCGCUGCAGGCUGGCCAGCACCAGUGUCUGUGGCAGGCCGGGGGAAGGUCAAGGAGACGACUGAAGGUAUGCAUGAGUUUGUGGAUGGGACUUAACCCCAUCCCAUUCCACCCUCUGGGUCCUCUCGUGAGGUGUCCCUGGGGCCAGCGUCCCCUCUGACGUGCUCUCUGCAAUGUUUGUUCAGAAGAUGCCCCUUCUUACACUUCUUGUGUUUCCCAGUCUGGACCCCUCCCACCAGCAGUUCAGGCCCAUUUGUCCCAGGCCCUUACUGCCCUCACUAGUCUGCUAGAGAUCAAGGCAGACUUUCAGGAAGCCGGGUAGUCUCUAGUGGAGACUGACCUAACCAAGAGCGCCCACUUCAGCAGCCUUGCAGUUCUCACAAACAAGCAGAGCCCGGAAAAUUACUUGUGUGCUCAGGCGCUCAGUCGUGUCCAGCUCUUUGUGACCCUGUGGACUGUAACCCACCAGGCUCCUCUGUCCAUGGGGAUUGUCAAGGCAAGAAUACUGAAGGUCGGUUGUCAUGCCUUCCUCUAGGGGAUCUUCCCAACCCAGGGAUUGAACCCAGGUCUCAUUGUGGGAGGACUCGUUACAUCUGAGCCACCAGAGAAGCUCAAGAAUACUGGAGUGGGUAGCCUAUCCUUCCAGGGGAACUUCCCGACCCAGGAAUUGAACCGGGGUCUCUUGCACUGCAGGCGGAUUCUUUACCAGCUGAGCUACCCAGGAAGCUGUACCAGCUACCCAGGACAGCUUGUGGAGUCCGCUGCUGGAUGGAAUCUCUCCUCCCCUGGUGUCUCCAGUCUGACCCCGUGAGUGCCUCCCCUCAGUUCAGCCUCUGUCCUCUCCCACUCCACCCCUGCGGCAGCCUCUUUCCUGCUUCCUCUCCCUGCCUUUCUCCUUUCUGAACCCUGCAGCUGGGAUGUAAUUUGCAUCGCCUUUGUGAUUGUUCAGUCGCUAAACUGUGUCCGACUCUGUCGGACUUUGCCUUCUCCUCUCCUUCACCCUCAAGGAUGGAGACUUCUCCGGGAAGCUACCCGUAACUUCCAGAACUGGGUUACGUGUCCCAUAACGCUGCCACGGAGUCUCGUUAAGUUCCAGGGUCAGGGUAUAAAGUCAUGCCUGGGAUACAGAUGGAGCGUGAUAAAAAUUCCUCUCCGAAACCCUGAGGAAGGUGCCUUGCUGAAGACCCUUAUCGCGAGGCCGGAUGCCGCUGCUGCCUGCCCCUGUGGGAGCAGGUCACAGCUUUCUUUGGGUGAGCCCCAGGAGAAGUCAUGGACCUGCAAUUCAGGCUCUGUUGUGCAAACAGCAGGUGUUAGACUCACACUCAGGCGAGCUGCUCACUUUUGAAGAGGCCCGGGGACCCGAGACAGGCCACAGGAGUAGCAGGGGCUUGAGCUCGCCUCAGGCCCUCCUGCCUGGCUGCUCAGGGGAUGGAGGGACAGGUGUUCAGUCACCAAGUCAUGUCUGACUCUCUGUGACCCCAUGGACUGCAGCACACUAGGCCUCCCUGUCCCUCACCGUCUCCUGGAGUUUGCCAAAGUUCAUGUCCAUUGAAUGGGUGAUGCUAUCCAACCAUCUCAUCCUCUGUGACCCAAAUAACUUAAAAUUGCUUUCCCCAUUUUUUUCCCCCUCCCUAGCUUUUUCAGACAAAUACCAUUGUGUUUGCUGAAGUGAAAUACGCAUGGAAUACCAUAUUUCUGCACCCUCCCCGCCCCAAACCUGCACACCUGUACACUGUAUCACAGUUUCCUCUUACUGUUUGUCUGUGUGCUAGACUGUGAGCUCCAUGAGAGCAGGGCCAUGUCCGGCUUGUUCAUGGGGGUCCCCCAUCCGGGUACCGUGCCUGGCACCUGGCAGGUCCCCCCGACACAAGGCUGACUGUGUAAAUCCCCUGCUUUACAAGGGACAGCUCCGUUCUCUGAAGGCCAGGCACUGCCUUACAGGCCAGUCCUCAUGGUUCUGCCUUGCACACGCAACACGUGAUGCUUUGUUUCCCCUGCUAGCAGCCUCUGAUGAGCAGGCGUCUUCGUGUUCUGAUCUCUGUUCCUCCU
ensembl:lncRNA